CGUCAUAGAGGGUGAGAAUCCCGUCUUUGACACGGACUACCAGGGCUUUGUGAUGCGCUCUCAAAGAGUCGAGUUGUUUGGGAAUGCAGCUCAAAAUGGGUGGUAAAUUCCAUCUAAAGCUAAAUAUUGGCGAGAGACCGAUAGCGAACAAGUACCGUGAGGGAAAGAUGAAAAGAACUUUGGAAAGAGAGUUAAACAGUACGUGAAAUUGCUGAAAGGGAAACGCUUGAAGUCAGUCGCGUUGUCUGGGGAUCACCUUGCUUUUGCUGGGCGUACUUUCCAGAUGACGGGUCAGCAUCAAUUUUGACCGUUGGAUAAAGAUUAGGGAAAUGUGGCAUCUUCGGAUGUGUUAUAGUCCUUAGUUGCAUACAACGGUUGGGAUUGAGGAACUCAGCACGCCGCAAGGCCGGGUACUUGUACCACGUUCGUGCUUAGGAUGCUGGCAUAAUGGCUUUAAUCGACCCGUCUUGAAACACGGACCAAGGAGUCUAACAUGCCUGCGAGUAUUUGGUGGUAAACCCGAGUGCGUAAUGAAAGUGAAAGUUGAGAUCCCUGUCAUGGGGAGCAUCGACGCCCGGACCAGACCUUUUGUGACGGAUCUGCGGUAGAGCAUGUAUGUUGGGACCCGAAAGAUGGUGAACUAUGCCUGAAUAGGGUGAAGCCAGAGGAAACUCUGGUGGAGGCUCGUAGCGAUUCUGACGUGCAAAUCGAUCGUCAAAUUUGGGUAUAGGGGCGAAAGACUAAUCGAACCAUCU
rnacentral:rRNA from 1 species